rnacentral:rRNA from 1 species
GACGAACGCUGGCGGCGUGCUUAACACAUGCAAGUCGAACGGAAAGGCCCUGCUUUUGUGGGGUGCUCGAGUGGCGAACGGGUGAGUAACACGUGAGUAACCUGCCCUUGACUUUGGGAUAACUUCAGGAAACUGGGGCUAAUACCGGAUAGGAGCUCCUGCUGCAUGGUGGGGGUUGGAAAGUUUCGGCGGUUGGGGAUGGACUCGCGGCUUAUCAGCUUGUUGGUGGGGUAGUGGCUUACCAAGGCUUUGACGGGUAGCCGGCCUGAGAGGGUGACCGGCGACAAUGCGACUGCGAUACGGCCCAGAAGCCUACGGGAGGCAGCAGUGGGGAAUAUUGCACAAUGGGCGGACGCCUGAUGCAGCAGCGCCGCGUGCGGGAUGCCGGCCUUCGGGUUGUAAACCGCUUUCGCCUGUGACGAAGCGUGAGUGACGGUAAUUGGUAAAGAAGCACCGGCUAACUACGUG